rnacentral:rRNA from 1 species
CCUACGGGGGGCAGCAGUGGGGAAUAUUGGGCAAUGGGCGCAAGCCUGACCCAGCAACGCCGCGUGAAGGAAGAAGGCUUUCGGGUUGUAAACUUCUUUUAUCAGGGACGAAGCAGGUGACGGUACCUGAUGAAUAAGCCACGGCUAACUGCGUGCCAGCAGCCGCGGUAAUACGUAGGUGGCAAGCGUUAACCGGAUUUACUGGGCGUAAAGGGCGUGCAGGCGGGCGUGCAAGUCAGAUGUGAAAACUAUGGGCUCAACCUAGGGACUGCAUGGGAAACUGGAAUGCUUGAGUGCUGGAGAGGGGAGUAGAAUUCCGUGUGUAGCGGUGAAAUGCGUAGAGAUACGGAGGAAUACCAGUGGCGAAGGCGGACCGCUGGACAGUAACUGACGCUGAGGUGCGAAAGCGUGGGGAGCAAACAGGAUUAGAUACCCGGGUAGUC